rnacentral:lncRNA from 1 species
UCAAAUUGAAAUAUUAUACAAUGCUCAAAUGUUAUACACAAACAGGAUCAAGAUGAACACAUAUUGCACAAGCAUUGAUAAUAUGUUCAAAAACAUACAUGUAUUGAUCAUAAGUUCAAAAACAGGACAAUCUUGACAAAGCAAAGUUUGGCCAUUUGGACCACCAUCUACAAAACACAAGCCACAUAAAAGGACCACUAUUUGUUGUUCUAAAGGAGUUCAAACACUAAAUGGUCCAGAACAAAGUCACACCCAUAAGCACAAGAUAUAUGCUCCAAAUCAGUUGAAGCACCAAAUGGUCCAGAACAGACAUAAGAUUCAUGAUCGCAAGUUAGCUGGUCCAAAAUACUGCAAACAGCCAAAUGCUGUCGAACAGUCCGAAGUAUCACAUCCAUGCGCAGUAGAUGGUUGAGUACCUGAAAAUGAAUGGUCAAAUUCUCAUAUGUUCACUCCAACGAUUCUGUGCACUUCAAAGUUUGAAAAUAUAUGUCAAAAACAAAUGUAGUCGUAUGUUGUCUAAUGAACUAGAAUUAAAAUGUAUAGCUUGAGACCAAAAAAACUGUAGUAUGUGAAGUUCUGUAAAUGCCAUGUGAUCUUUAGAUUGUGACAAUCAAAGUGUUAACACCAAACUGAUAGACGUAUGCUAACUACUAAGCAAUCUAUAUGAGCAUCAGAUUACGUCAUGUGAUUUCAUAUUUUUAAUUUUAAAACUGCAGUAUGUGGAGUUCAUUUUUAUAUACAAGACACAAAAAUGUUAUCUAGUGAUGCUAUAAUUUCACAAAUAUGUUUUACAAUUUCAGAUACACUGAAGUGUUAUGUGUGACACAUUUUCCUCGCUUGCCAUUUGGUUUACUCUGACGUACGAUAGUUAAUCCUUGUACUAGUGUUCUUAGUUCAAUAUUAUCUGAUCGAUAAACUAGCUAAAUGACAGGAAAAUCAGUCUUGGAGCAUUUGUGUGUUCAUCAAAAAUGAAAAGGGUUCCACAAGAGAACUAUGGAAAAUGGUUCAUGGGUUGUACAUAUUAUGUGUAAAUCAAAUGAUAACAUACUCGCAUCGCAUGUUUCUUAUGCAAACUAUUUUAGUUCAUAGGCUGCUUCUUCCACCGCACGUUGCUCUGAAAAGUGUGAAGACAUGUAUCAACCACCCUAUGAAGACGAAAACUAUGUUUAAUAAUAUAGAUAACUCGGCUCAUCCUAAAUCAAAUUAGAAAGUAAGCCAAGGGACUGCAAGUUAUGUCCUUGGUAAGUUUAUUGUAUGAACUUUUCAAAUGCACAAAGGAUUUUCAGGUAAUAUUAGUCCAUCACCAGAACAAACACGAAUAUCUCACAAAAGUACCAUGUACGAACAUUAUUAAGAUUUAAGUACUGCCUUAUUCUUGAACUAGAUCAUCAUUAUUAUGGUUGAACUUCUUGUAUCUUCCUACUGCUUACAAUCAGAAUGGGAUUGAUAGGCUAUAAUUAGUUAUAAAUAUGCUCAACCCACAAAUUAGCCAUCUUUCCCAUUUUAAGCAGACAUGUUAGCAUUAACUAGAAGAUUUCGUCAACUAUAUUAAUAUAUGUGAUAGCAAAUAAUGUACUAAAGUGGAAGCGAUGCAAGUAUUAGUGCAUCAAAUGGUGAUUCUGACUCUAAGAAGAUAUUUUCAAUACACAAAAAACGACGAGUUGGUACAAUCUAGAAACACAUUUAUAGUGUAUCAAGUUUGUUUUCUGCCUCCAGUUCAAUUUAACUGCUGCCAGAAAUAUAAGAUAGAUGCCAUAUGAAACCAAAAAAAGGAAAAUGCUACCAGCAAGUACGGAAAAAGGAGGAUCGACACCUGAAACCAAAACUCCCUUUGGUUACUUGUAUCUUCUAUAUACUUGAGUUACUAUCUGCUAAAAGGGGCAUUUUCAUGAAUAUUGGAACAACUGCAUGAUCUGGUUGAUAGUAUGUAUGAGAUAAAUGGCCAAUCAUUGCAGAAAUAUAAUUGGGGAGGGCAAGUAAAGAUAGCGGGCUAGCUGACAAAUAUUCAAAAUACUACGCCCGCUUUAGAGAGCGGUCUUAUGAAAGUUUACAGAGGGAGUACAAAUGAGGGAAGCAUCAUUAC